rnacentral:rRNA from 1 species
CUACGGGCCGCUCCAGUGAGGAAUAUUGCACAAUGGAGGAAACUCUGAUGCAGCAACGCCGCGUGGAGGAUGACGCAUUUCGGUGUGUAAACUCCUUUUAUGAGUCAAGAAAAUGACGGUAGCUCAUGAAUAAGCACCGGCUAACUCCGUGCCAGCAGCCGCGGUAAUACGGAGGGUGCAAGCGUUACUCGGAAUCACUGGGCGUAAAGGACGCGUAGGCGGGAUAUCAAGUCAGGUGUGAAAUCCUACAGCUUAACUGUAGAACUGCACUUGAAGCUGGUAACCUAGAGUAUGGGAGGGGGAGAUGGAAUUAGUGGUGUAGGGGUAAAAUCCGUAGAUAUCACUAGGAAUACCUAAAGCGAAGGCGAUCUCCUGGAACAUAACUGACGCUAAGGCGUGAAAGCGUGGGGAGCAAACAGGAUUAGAUACCCGUGUAGUC